CCUACGUGAGACAGCAGUGAGGAAUAUUGGUCAAUGGACGAGAGUCUGAACCAGCCAAGUAGCGUGAAGGAUGACUGCCCUAUGGGUUGUAAACUUUUUUUAUAUGGGAAUAAAAUGUUCCACGUGUGGGAUUUUGUAUGUACCAUAUGAAUAAGGAUCGGCUAACUCCGUGCCAGCAGCCGCGGUAAUACGGAGGGUCCGAGCGUUAACCGGAUUUAUUGGGUUUAAAGGGGGCGUAGGUGGAUUGUUAAGUCAGUUGUGAAAGUUUGCGGCUCAACCGUAAAAUUGCAGUUGAAACUGGCAGUCUUGAGUACAGUAGAGGUGGGCGGAAUUCGUGGUGUAGCGGUGAAAUGCUUAGAUAUCACGAAGAACUCCGAUUGCGAAGGCAGCUCACUGGACUGCAACUGACACUGAGGCUCGAAAGUGUGGGUAUCAAACAGGAUUAGAUACCCGAGUAGUC
rnacentral:rRNA from 1 species